CCUUGUACACACCGCCCGUCACACCAUGGGAGUUGGCUUUACCUGAAGGCGGUGCGCCAACCGCAAGGGGGCAGCCGACCACGGUAGGGUCAGCGACUGGGGUG
rnacentral:rRNA from 1 species